rnacentral:lncRNA from 1 species
UAGAAAUGACAUCUUAAAACCCAAGCAAUGAUAGAUGGUAUUUGUCUUUAGGAUAAAAUGAUGUGUCUAGAAUCCAUUAAUAUUUAAUUGUUCUUUUGAAAUACAUUUUUUUAUACUUUUAAAGGGUUUAAGUAUGAACUUAGAAUAGAAUAUUUUGUUAUAAUUAGUCAUAAUUAUCAUACAUGGUAUCAAUCAUAACCGAUCCCUCUCUCUAAAAUAAAAAAACAAAAAAUAAAAUAAAAAAGCAAACGCAGAAACGCGUUUCUUCUUUUCCCUCAUUACAGUCUGUCGCCGUAUGCUUCUUCUCCCUCCUUGAAGUCUGCCACCACAACAGGACUACCGUACUUUGUACCGCCG